GGGCGGGCGCAGGGGAAGAGCGGACGCGCAGGAAGGGGUCGGGCGGAGGCUGAGACGGUCAUCCAGGAGGUUGGAAAGCUAACCUACCCGUUUCAGAACCGUUAGUAUCUACAAGUCCAGUCAUCUGAUUUCCCUCACGUGCGUUUGAAUUGUGGACGUCUUGCUCUUCCGUCAGGCACAACAAGGCUCAGCCAGUCCUCUCCUGUGUUGACGCAUUUGCUCAAGGCCUUGAGAUCUGGCUCAAAUCAAUCCUUCCUGGACUUUCCUUCCGGGUAGUACAAAUUUGCCAGCCCUCCUCUUGCUGUUGGCGUAACACCAGCAAUCUCUGAGAGUUGUAGAGCUCCCCGUCAUGUCAAGGGUUGGCUUCCCAAACAUCUCCUGUGGUCCUCAAAACAAGCUGGUGAAGUAGGCCUGGUCAUCCCCAUUUUGCAGAUGAGCUGUCUGAGGACCAGAGCAGCAACGUGGAGUGACGUACCCAAGGUUAGACACUCAGCAAGCUCUGCAGCUGGAACUUGAAUCCAGACACCGUAAGAUUGCCCCAGACGCCCGAAGACAUGGAUUUCAGCUGUUUAAUUUGCUAUAUAAAUUAGGAUGAGAGACUGCAGCCCUCGCUGCCAAUGUAAAGAUGGUGCUGACGGAGAGGUGAGGACGCCGCCUACUGGAAUAGUAGAUGGAUGCAUUAUCUUCCUCAGCCUGCUCCUCUGUGACGAGACUGAUCAAUGUAGUGAGUUAGUUAGCAGGGCAAAAGUUCAUACUUCCCAUCACCUAGAGAUCAGUGAGAUCAGAUAAGGAGGGAAAAUCCUCUCCUUGGGCCAUAGAUUGCGACUCUGACUCCAUUGCAAGUUACAAUGGAAAGUCUUUGUCUGUAAUAGAACCACACGUGGAAAAUGUGAUAUACUGUAGCAGCAAACCACUUCCAGGCAAAAUGCAGAUCUCAGAGUCUUGUGCACAGAGAAUACUCAGCUUGCUCACUAAGUAGGUGUUAGAUUGAGACAAUAAAUGAAUGACUGUUCCCUCUGCUUCCAUCAAAUAACCUUUAGCUCAGCUCUGCCUGUCAGUGUGCUGACCACCACAAGAAGAGAGGCAGGGAGUACUGGGAUGGGGCAGGGACCGAUGUAAAUUUUUUAAGCCUCCCUUUGCAAAAGAGCCUGUGUAUGUGCAUUCAGCAGCUGCACCUUUAACUUAAGAGCUUAAGAAAAAAACAUGUUUCUUUUGUUCUACCUUGUUUUACUCUAUUGUCAUUUACUGUGUUAUAGGGUCAGCACCAGUUUGAAAAAAGCAGACCUGUACUGUUCCUAUGGCCAUAUAUUAUGUAUUUAUUCCAGGGGAUCCCCUGCUUGAUACACAAACACACCCUUCUUUAUUCCUGUUUAUGGUUUGAUUGUCUGAUGGUCAGCCUUGGCUGGAGAAAUGAGAUUUUUAUUGUUUUUAAAUUAGGCCUCCUGUCUUCAUUGUACACCUGGCUAAGUAUGAAUUCUGUCCUCUUUGACAGUUUCUUUAAUAAGAUUCACACAUGCAAUUCCUAUCCCUACUAGGAAAACAUUUUAACAUAUUAAUUCUGCAUAAUCACCAGAAGCCAUUACAAUAUAGAUUUAAAAGUUAUUGUUUAGCCUUAGGAAUCAUGAAGUAAGAUAAUAGGUUUGAUUGGCACAGUUUGGUCUUAGAUUUUGUAAUAGGUUGGUAACAAGGAAGAUCAUUUAUUUGGUAUUUAUUUUUGAGAAUGGUGCUUACUCUAUAUGCUGAGAUUUCAAGCAAUGAUCUUGGAACCCUGGUUAGUCACAUCUUCCAUUUCACAGAAAACAGGACAGAAGCAUUAGAAAGAAAGGCAUAAGCUCAGGAAGGGCCCAUCCUAGGAAAAAUCUCAAAGUUCAAGGGUCUUUGACUCUAAUCACACCUCAGUAUUCCAUGACCUUGCCACUUCUAUCCUGUGAAAUCCCAUGCUACUUUCUGUUGGCACAAAUGAGGGCCUCUCAUUGUGAUACAGGUUUUGUACAGCCCUUCCAGUUCCAUACUUCUUCUUCCUUGUUUAAACAACUUUACUGAUGUACUUUUAAUAAGAUUCACCCAAUUGAUGAAUUUUAGUAAAUGUAUACAGUUGUGCAGCCAUAACCACAAUGAAAUUUUAGAACAAAUCCAUCACCCCCUGUGUCCAUUUGCAGUCAGUCCACACCCCCAGCCCUGACCUCAGGCAAGAGAUCUCCUUUGUCGCUAUAACUUUGCAUUUUUUUGAAAAUUAAUAUGAAUAAGGCCAGGCGCCGUGGCUCAUGCCUGUAAUUCCAGCACUUUGGGAGGUCGAGGCAGGUGGAUCACAAGGCUGGUCUCAAACUUCCAACCUGAGGUGGUCCGCCCGCCUCGGGCUUCCAAAGUGCUGGGAUUACAGGUGUGAGCCGCCAUGCUCGGCCAUUUUUGUUCUUAUAUUUAGGUCUGUGUUCCAUCUCCUGUUUAUUUUUAUGCAUGAUGUGAAGUAAGGAUCAAGGUUUAUUGGAGGUUUUUUUUGUUUUGCAUGCAGAUAUUCUAUCAUUUCUGCCAUUGAAUUACACUGACACUUUCAUUGAAAAUUAGUUGAUCAUAUAUGUAUGAGUCUAUUUCUGGACUCUAUUUUGCUCCAUUGAUCUAUAUGUCCAUCAUUACACCAAUAUCACAAUCUUGAUUAUUGCAUCUUUAUAACAAAUAUGGAAAUCAGUUAGUGCCAAUCACCCAGUUUUGUUCUUCUUCAAAAUUGUUUUGUCUAUUUUAAGUUAGGAGUUGAUGCCUGUUUUCGUAAAUAAAGUUUUAUUGACACAUAGCUAUGUCUAUCCAUUUAUGUAUUUUCUCUGGCUGUUUUUGAACUAAAAUGGUAGAGGUCAGGAGUUGCAACAGUUUGUGGACCACAAAGCCUAACAUAUUUGCUAUUUGGCUAUUUAUAGAAAAAGUUCACUGGCCCCUGUUCUAGGUCUUUUCCAUUACCAUAUAAAUUUCAAAAUUAGUUUGCCAAUCUGUGCAAAAUAAGCCUGCUAGGAUUUUUAUACGAAUUAGAUUGAAUCUAUUAAUCAGUUUGAGGAGAAAUGCCAUUUUAACAAUAUCAAGUCUUCCAAUCCAUGAAGUUAGUUAUUUAGGUCUUAUUUCUCUCAGCAAUAUAGUUUUUUGUGGACAAGUCUUGCACAUUUUUGUUUAUUCCUAAAUAUUUUUUCUUUUCGAUACUAUCAUGAAUAAAGUUUUCUUAAUUCCAUCCUCAGAUCACUUGUUGCCAUUAUAUAAAAAUACAAUUGAUUGUACAUUGAUCUUGUAUACUCUGAUUUUCUUAAGCUUGCUUACUAUUCUAGUUUUUGCAGGUUUCUUGGAUUUUUUACAUGCAAUUUCAUGUCAUCUGCACAUAAAAACAAUUUUAGUUUUUCCUUUCCAAUCUGUAUACUUUUUUCUUGCCUAUUGCACUGGCUAUAACCUCCAGUAAACCACUGAAUAGAGUUGUGAGUGCAGACAUCCUUGCCUUGAUUCCCAUCCUGAGGGGAAGCAUUCCUAGUUUUCUAAGUUUUAAUCAUGAAUAGGUGUUGGAUUUUGUCAAAUAUCUUUUCUGUGUCUAUCAACAUAAUCAUAUGGCUUUUUUCCCUUAUUUUAUUAAUAUGAUAUAUUGCAAUGAUUCUCAACUGGAGGUGAUUUUGCUCCUUAUGGGACAUUUGACCAUGUCUGGAGACAUUUUUGAUUGUCAAACUGGGGAGGUGGGUUCUACCAGUAUCUGGUGGGUAGAGGCUGAGGAUUCUGUUCAACAUUCUAAAUGCACAACAAAGGAUUAUCUAACCUAAAAUGUCAGUAGUGCUGAUAUUGAGAAAUAUUUCAUGUGCACAUGAAAACAAUGUUUAUUCUGCUGUUGGGUAGAAUGAUCCCAUAUUUCAAUUAGGUAAAGGUGUGUUAUUCAAGUCAUAGGCUGCAAUCAAGGUGUUAGCUGGGUUCUGGUCAUCUCAAGACCCAGCUGGGGAGGGAGCCAUUUUCAAGUGCACAUGGUUGUUGGCAGGAUUCAGUUCCUGGCAGGUUGUUGAACUGAAGGCCUGAGUUCUUUGCUGGCUGUUAGCAAAAGGCUGGCUUCAGCUCUUUGUCACAUUAGAGGUUCCUUAAUUCUGUUGGCUUUUGUCAUAAAUGUAUCCCCAUCUGCUGGUAGCUCCUCCUCUGGCUUCGUAGCACUGCUAUGGGUUAUUUUGGUUUUUCUAUUUCUUGUCAUUUCAGUAAGAUUGGCGGGGGAUUAUGGGUAAGAAAAGUAAAAGACUAUGUCCAGUGUGUCAUCUUGAACUGAAAUUAAUCUCUCCUUUUUGCACUGCACUUUAAUUUUUUAAAAAAAAUGAGCUGAGAUUGCGCCAUUGCACUCCAGCCUGGGUGACAGAACGAGACUCUGUUC